CUACCGGGUCUUCCGGAGCCUGCAGACCCCGACGCCGGCGCCAGGAGGGCGGCGGUAAUACGCUCCCGCCGUUACUGUUACUGAGACGUGCAAGGCCUUCUGUAUUUCAACAGUUUUGUUUGAGUUAGAAAAAAUCAGACAUUAUGUUUUAAAGCAAGAGCUCCUAUUUAAAUUCUUCCUGUUUCAUUACAAUUGCCUUGUGCAAGUCCACAUGCAAAUUUGAUAAAAGUAAGCAAAAUCUAGCCUGUCAGAAAACUGCAAGAGGCCACAACAGAGGGAACAGUCACUUCCCAGAUUACAUCCUCACUUGACCAGACUGGAGCCUAAGAAACAGACAUCUUCCAUCACAUCUUUGGGCAGGUGUGAUUGACUUCAGCAGAAACAAGUUGAUAUAAAAAUAUGGCGGUGAAAGAUAAGGGAAAUAGCUGCUACCUCACCCCUUAUGUUUCAAAGUUGUACUUUGUAACAUCAG